UUACAACUGUUCAUUUCAAAUAAUUGUUUCACACUGAUUAGAUAGUGCACCCUUUGCUUUAUUUAAUUAUUUCUUUUUUUUUUCCAUAAUAGUCAUCUUAACUUACUUUAUGAUCAAUUAUUGUCAUUGUGUUUAUGCAAUGUAUUGAGCUUUUCUUAAAAAAAACAAAAAAAAAAAACUGACUAAGCACAUUGAUUGUUUUAGGUCUACGAACAUUGUCCAAGAGAGGUGUGAUAAUCUUUCCAAUAGGAUUUGCAUCUUUUAGAAUGUAGUUCCAGGUUAUUAGUGCAUAGAACUUUUAUGUUUAUUAAACUAUCCCUUGCUGUUGUAAGUGGCAUUCUCAAUUCAAACAAUCCUACAUGAUAUAUCGGCAUGAGACGGUACUUCCCAAGACAACUUUACACAAUCGAUUUUCUUUUCUUUUUAUUACACUUUGAAGGUAAUUUUAUACAUUUCUAGCACACACUUAUGUGAUUUAUUUUUAGAAAACUUAUUUCAGCUCACUCCAUCUGUCUGUUUAUUUUUGUACGAAUAAUUUCUCCCACUUCCUGGUCUCGGGUGAAGUUGAAAAAGUACACUAUUCAUUAUUCUAAAUAAAUAUUGAUUCAAUUCAAAAUAAAAAGGCAAUUAAUUAGUAAGUGGCUAUUAACUAAUGUAGCUUAAUAUACAAAAGAGAAGUAAAUAUUACAAUUUUGAGAUAUAUGGCUGUUAGUGUAAAGUUAUUUCCAUUAUGUACUUUUGUAUAAUAGGUAUCUUUAUAUUGUACUUGUUUUUAAAUUACAUUUACAUAAUUAUUGUUCGUUUUUUUUUUUAGUUUCACUUGCAUGGAUCGAACUUCCAAAGUCAAGUAAUGUUCAAUGAAACUUCGCUACCAACUCCGAGCGUUGACCUAGAGAUCCACGUCGUACACGGGGGGAUGAUUUCAGACCCUGCUGACCUUAUUCUUAUAAAGACCAUCAUCCGGAAGAAAUCUAUAAUAAGGUUGAAGUACCUUCGGUAGAAGAACAAACUUACCACCAGUUACCGUUCAGUGCAAAAGAGAAAGAUUUAAACUCUAAGGCAGAUAAUAAACGCAGUACGAUAAAAGGAAAUCACAAACGACUAAAAUACCUAGAUACCAGAAAAAUUCAAGACUCGCUCGUAUCACAUCCACCAGUUUUGAACGUUUAUGUGAAUUCAAAAGACUUAGAAUCUGAGAGAAGAAAUACUUCGCCUGUAGAAUUGAAAGAGAAGGGGCAAAGAGACAUUAAUAAUGUUUAUAGCAGCCUUGAAAAUCAACCACUUGACAAUCGCACGUAUGAAGCUCUUAAGCCAAGACAUUUGUAGUAUAUAAGUUUAAUUUGAAAAAAAGACAAAGAUGAAAUCAUCGAUAUCUCAUGGAUGUUGCCUUGAUGGUCUAACGUACUACAAGACAGACGAAGUCGUGUCCGUCAAAUAUAUUUCAGCCUUAAUAUUUUACAACAAUCAGGCUAUAAUGUUCAAGAGAUCUGGUGGAAUGAUCAUUUAUUAACUUUUAUACA